rnacentral:piRNA from 1 species
UGCCAGACGUUGAAUGUGUGAUGGGAAUC